UACGGAGGGUGCAAGCGUUGUUCGGAUUUACUGGGCGUAAAGGGCGCGUAGGCGGCUUGGUAAGUCGGGUGUGAAAUCCUUCCGCUUGACGGAAGAAGUGCACCCGAAACUGCCUUGCUCGAGUUUAGGAGAGGAGAGCGGAAUUCCCGGUGUAGAGGUGAAAUUCGUAGAUAUCGGGAGGAACACCCGUGGCGAAAGCGGCUCUCUGGCCUAAUACUGACGCUGAGGCGCGAAAGCGUGGGGAGCAAACAGG
rnacentral:rRNA from 1 species